GACGAACGCUGGCGGCGUGCUUAACACAUGCAAGUCGAACGGAAAGGCCCCCUUGUGGGGUACUCGAGUGGUGAACGGGUGAGUAACACGUGAGUAACCUACCCUUGACUUUGGGAUAACUUCAGGAAACUGGGGCUAAUACCGGAUAGGAGCUCCUGCUGCAUGGUGGGGGUUGGAAAGUUUCGGCGGUUGGGGAUGGACUCGCGGCUUAUCAGCUUGUUGGUGGGGUAGUGGCUCACCAAGGCUUUGACGGGUAGCCGGCCUGAGAGGGUGACCGGCCACAUUGGGACUGAGAUACGGCCCAGACUCCUACGGGAGGCAGCAGUGGGGAAUAUUGCACAAUGGGCGGAAGCCUGAUGCAGCAACGCCGCGUGCGGGAUGACGGCCUUCGGGUUGUAAACCGCUUUCGCCUGUGACGAAGCGUGAGUGACGGUAAUGGGUAAAGAAGCACCGGCUAACUACGUG
rnacentral:rRNA from 1 species